rnacentral:rRNA from 1 species
UACGUAGGGGGCAAGCGUUGUCCGGAAUUAUUGGGCGUAAAGCGCGUGUAGGCGGCUUUGCAAGUCGGGUGUGAAAGCCCUCAGCUCAACUGAGGAAGUGCGCCCGAAACUGUAGAGCUUGAGUGCCGGAGAGGGUGGCGGAAUUCCCCAAGUAGAGGUGAAAUUCGUAGAUAUGGGGAGGAACACCGGUGGCGAAGGCGGCCACCUGGACGGUAACUGACGCUGAGACGCGAAAGCGUGGGGAGCAAACAGG